rnacentral:lncRNA from 1 species
GGCAUUCUCAGCAGAGUUCUUCAAGUUAACCCACUGACUUGUUUUCUGACAUGUUUAUAAGGACUUCAGUGCUAUGGGAAUGAACUGUUAUGGGCAGCAAACUUUCACCACUCAAGGGAAAGACUGCUGAUGGAUGCAAAGCAUGUGACUGAAGCUCAAAAACUUCCCAUCAGCUCUUUCCACUUCUGCUGCUGCUGAACACAAUUUGAAUAAAAACUGCAUAUAAACCA